UGCCGACAUUUUUCACAGAUAUGUUUCUGUUUAAUUCCUGUGAUCUCGUCUCAUGAUGCCUUUCACAGUCAAUACCUUACAGUGAGACGGAAGACUUGGCACAGAGCUCCUUAUCUGAUUGGUGGAGCACCAGUCAAAGCCCAACACAAAGACACUCAGACAACCCCUCAGCUACCUACCAUGAUUGUGAUCUCACAGAACAAUGCCACUGUGAUGCAGACAAUGGAUCACCCUGAACCUGUAUACUAUGGGAAGCUGCUCCAGGGCAGGCUGAAGCCCCUGUCUCUUGCUGUUGUCUCUGGCCCAGCUACAGAUCAGUGUCAGGGUAUCAGACCAGACUUCCGGCCAAAACAGCCCAAGGCUCCAUAACAGGUCAGAGACAACACAUUGGGUGAUUCUUAAAAUAUGUCAACUACAUCACAAACUACAUCAUAUCACAUCUUGUUUCAUGGGCUUUGUGUUUAGAGAGCAGUAAUGACCAUUUCUAUUUAACCUGUG
rnacentral:lncRNA from 1 species